UACACAUGGUGCUUUGUAAAAGGCGCUAUUUAAAAAGGCACAUAAUAAAAAACUAAAGGUUAUAUAGGAUAAAAAAUGCAGGAGCCUGAGCCCCUGAGCACCUACAUUUGCCACUCCCAGCUGUUUCACUUCACCGUUUAUUUUUCUUCAUGCCUCUAUGUUGACUACCUUCAUACCUCUUGAGGUCUCUGCAACCAUGCUGGCUGCAACAAUUGGCUGCAACUUGUUGCAUUGCUUGUGGUAAUGGCGCUUUGCUUGGUAGUUUAAAUGUGCACGCCUGUGAACGUUGAUCCUGUGGGUGGCGCGUGUUGUCGCGCGUGUUAUUUGCGUGCAAGUGACACGGAUUUAACCAUGCGGAUUCUUCGACCUGCGGCUCCGUGCACUGUCACACGCGGGACAAGUAGGAACUCUGCCUCAAGCCGUGUGUCAGUUGCCUCUCUUCUCAAGACUGAUACCGGCAGCCGUAGAGGAAAGCCCUUUCUUUCCAUGCUGGUCUUUCUUCCCUGGUGCGGGCAGUACACGAUGUCCACGAAAGAAUCAUGGGCACCACUUAUUAUAGGUAUGAGCCAUUCCUGACGAUGAUAGUUUUUGCAUCAUGGACUAGAUACCACUUUGUUUGGGUAUAAACCAUUGCAACGAGCCACAUAAGGUUUUUGCCUUAAUACAGGCGCACACUCUCAAUAAUGCUUUUCAGGGCAGCACGCCAAAUGCAGUGUGAUGACUUGUCUGCCUGCUGACCAGUACUACAUGUGGUAUGGUGAGUGCGGAGUCUGUUAUGCUGCUUGUUUAUUAAUGGAGCAGGAAACUGAACAUGGAAUAUUUUCAGCGGUGUUCUUGAUUCACAGGCAAGAAACACAGGAUGCUCACACGGAUAUAUACUGAGAGGACCAGGCAGAAAGACGUCUUCCCAAUUCUUCACAUGUGCCCCCCUCGCGCGUAUACCAACAUCCAAUUUUUACCUGAAUCCCUGCUGGGGCCAAAAAGGAACAGAGGCAGGAGAUGCUUAGAUAGCGGCAUUGUUACAUGAUAGCAUUAAGGGCCUUGUGUUGCAGAAAAUCUGGCGUCCCAUGUCCCGCGUCCAGUGUCAACCAUUGUUUCGGAAAAAAUCGUUCCACACCAUGCAGGCCCAUAUAGCGUGAAGUUACUGAACUAAUUAAAUCUCUCAAAGUAAAAUAUGUCAGGAAAAUCGUAAAGUACAACUUACAACCUACAGACAUGAUAGCGUUGGAUUGUAGUUUGGGUAUAUCAGAAAACAUAAUUCUGUUAUGUGGAAACUCACACAAACCCAUUUUCCAGCAUUUCUAAAAUUCACAGAGCUGCCAUAGCCUCCAAGAUUUGUGCGUGCCAGUGCAUGCAAAUCUCAGCUAUAAAGAGGCACGCCCGGUGUCUUGCAACACCUCCAGAUGGUGUUUCACUCUGCAGCAUCGCGGUCCACGCAAGAAGCCGCAUUUCUAACAGAAAGCACGCCUUUGUGCAAAGCGUUCGCCCCCAGUGUUUCCCAGUAAACAUUACUGUUACAUCAGCUGCAUUUGCGGGAAGCAUGAGAAGCAGCCUGGGAUCUUUGAAUGCUGUCGCGUAACCCUUUGAGGGUCGAUUUUUUUCGCCACAUGCGACCGCCCAGGCUCAAUUUUUUUUAUUGCAAAUUCCAAUUCUUCUGAGGGACCUAUUUAGAAAAAACAUUACCGUAAUUUUUCUUGGGGGAACGUAAAGUGAGAAAAAAAUAUUUUGCAUUGGUAUGUAUGUACCCUUUAUUCAUGAAUAACAACAAUAAAAAAAGGAAAUAAACUUAUAAGAAUUAAAAAUUUGAUACAUUGUUAUAGUUCAAGGCUUAGAAUAUGCGUACACGAGAAUAUUUAUCAAGUCUCAAAUGUUAAACUAAUAUUUGCGUCCAUAGCGUAAUUGAACUGCGUAGGUGAGCAUACUCAAGAAAACUGUGUGGUUGUGUGCCUGUCAUAAAAGCAAAACGUGUGACAAACUUCCGCUAAUCUUCAUCUUAUCGUCAACCAGAGGCAAUUAGAUAUCACGAGCCUCCCCCCAAAAAAGAAAAGAAAAGCAAACGCAUGCACGGUGGCAUCCUUCCUAUACUCACCCAUGUGAGCACUAAACGAGUGAGAAACAGGUGGCCGCCCUUUGAGCAAUUAGUAAUGAGAUAGCCAUCAGUUUUGCAAGGGCAAGAAGCCCAAACCGCCCGCGGAACAAAACCCAAACCGCCGCCCGCCCGCGCGCGCGCCAAUGCACGAGUGGUAGUAUAUAGACAAACUAGAGCAAACUAGUUCUAAAACCAACCAUGCAACAAAAACCGAGAGAGGAGGCGUGAGAAAAAAAUUCCCUGUAUUCCCACAUAGUGGAAGCACAUGCCAGGAAAUAAAAAAUGAGGAAAUUUGCGCGCUUUUUAAACGUACAGGCUCGGUAAAUAUACGGCAUCGGCCAUUUUGGACUUGUUCAAGGUGCUGUAUAUUUAUGUCAUUGACCCUGAAAGGGUUAAAGGUGAAGCUUAAGCAUUCCCCAUAUUUUUAAUUGCUGCUUGCAACUCGAAAGUCUUCUGCUCUUACCAUGUUUCUAGAUUUGUUAUCAUGAUAGCCAAUCAACAUACCUGGUGUCACAUAUAACUAUCAAUUUCCCUCACAAACGUGGCUGCUACGGAUGAUGGUUCAGUCUUGGUGCUGUUCAUCAGAGUGCAAGACCUGGCUGGUGUCAUCAUCUGCUGUUGUGGUUGCCACCAUCCUGCUGCUCCCGUGCACUAGUUCAAAGGGCAGCGCAGCAUGGAGUGUGUGGCUACACUUUUGACACGAACGGGAAAGGGCAACUCCAUCAGGAACUGUAUUGUGCAGCGGGGCGAAAGUAACGGACCCACACUUUGUAAGCUCAGCCAGAGCCACUCGCGAGAAUGUGGCUUUUUUCUAUCUCUUUUUAUAAUGUUGCACUGAGGUGUGACUAGUGGCCUGCAUGCCUCACUUAGCUGGCUCAGUGCUCUGAAAGUUUUUAGAGUGCAUAGGAAGUGGUCAUGCAACAUGCGAAGUUGUGAAUAGUUUGUUAUGCUUUAACAUAGGUGUUUCAGUCCUGUCUUGGGGCUCAUGAAUAAAUGUGCGUCUGUGGCUCGGCUGUGAUUAAGCUAAGGGUUAAAUGACAGUGUGAGAAAUUCUGUGAUAUUCACCUUAAAAUGCAUGUUAGAGCAUAUGAACCCGU